rnacentral:rRNA from 1 species
UACGUAGGGGGCUAGCGUUGUCCGGAAUCAUUGGGCGUAAAGAGCGUGUAGGCGGUCCGGUAAGUCCGCUGUGAAAGUCAGGGGCUCAACCCUUGAAAGCCGGCCGAUACUGUCGGACUAGAGUCCGGAAGAGGCAAGUGGAAUUCCCGGUGUAGCGGUGAAAUGCGCAGAUAUCGGGAGGAACACCAAUGGCGAAGGCAGCUUGCUGGGACGGUACUGACGCUGAGGCGCGAAAGCGUGGGGAGCAAACAGG